ACACAAUCUGUACUAGGAAGAAAACACAGGACCCUCUCUCUCUGACCACUAGUGCUAUCCCAGGAUGAAGCAGUGGUGAUGGGUGAACACGGAUGAUGUGAAAACCAUGGAACAGACCACACUUCUCGCAGGAAGGUGGGAAUGUGCCCUGGGCCAUUUUCCUAGUCCUGCUUUCUCUGACGCAGCUUCUAUCCCCAGAUCAGGAGGACCAGCUAUGAAAAGAUAGAGGUGAGAGGUACCGGUGUAGAAAUGGAUUCCGGCCAGGUUCCUGACCCCUGGGUGCCGACGCCUUGUGUUGUCCACAUCAGUCCAGAGAGAGACCUUAUGUGGAUGUUACUACAUGUUACAGCACUUGGCUACGAGAAGUAGAAGAUAAUCGAAUUUUCCCACCAUUCCUGUGUUUCGAGGGCACACACGUGUGCUUUUACUAUAAGCAACAAGUAUGUUUGGUAACAGAUCCUACGGAAAGGGAGCUUGGCAGAAGGCUUUCCAAAUUUGACGGCCGUCCGCAAAACUUGCACGCUCUUUCCCACGAUGAGUUAUGGCCCAGAAAGAAACCUUUCUAACCCAACAGCGAUGAAGGGACCCAUUGUGAUCAGCCGUGCUGGAGGAAGACAGACUUACUGCCUUGUGAAAAAGAGAUCAAAGACUGGGCAGUCCGAAGGUGCAGGGCAAAGAAGGAAGACAGAGAGGUGUCAGGCAGCUCGUUAGUGGACGUGCCAUUUCUCUGGAUUUCGUGAUGCUUACGGUAUUUGCCAGCUCUCCAACAUUUGUCAUGUGCUGUGAUUUUCCUUUCUUCGGCUUGGGUCACCAUCUCACGGUGUGUGGGUUCGAGCCCCACGUCUGGCUCCCCGCUGACAGUGUGGAGACUGCUUGGGAGCUCUCUCUCCCUUGCUCUCUGCCCCUCCCCCGCUCGCUCGCUCUCUCUCAAAAUGAAUAAAAUUAAAAAAAUUUUUUUUUCGUAAAAAAGAAAAGAAACGAAAAUCUUCCCAGUUGAAUCUAAAGGUCACUCAGAGAUUGACAACCAUCACUUUAGCCAAUGGGGAGACUGUGAGCCAUGAAACCAUGGCCAUGAAACAAUAGAAAAAAAUAUAUAUAUAUAUUGGUCUCCACGCCCAGUUCCUGCCAUAGACUUCCUAAAACCCUUGUAAUUUUCCUAAGUGAUUAGAGUGCAAGGAACAUCUUCUGAUCUAAUAGUUGGUCUUUGACCCUGGUUCCUGACACAGAGCUCCUAAAUCCGUUGGAAUUUCCUGGGUGGUAGCAGCCGUCUUUUGUUUUAAUGAGGCGCCUCUGGGUGGGCUCCCGGAUGGGGGCUGGUCAUCAGAAAGACCAAGCCAUAAAUAGAAGCUUGGAAUUUUCGGCCCCACCCUCCGUCCUCCCGGAAGGGGAGAGGGGCUGGAAAUGGCGUUGAUACUUGAUCAUGCCUUCGUGAUGAAGCCUCCAUAAACGUCCCCGAAGUACCGGGUUCAGAGAGCUUCCAGGCUGGCGAACACAGCUAGCUGCCGGGAAGGUGGUACAACCCAAACUCCAAGGGGACAGGAGGCCAGGAUCCUCCCAGAUCCCGCCCUGAGUUAUCUCUUCAUCUGGCUGUCCAUCUAUAUCCUUUGUCACGUCCUUUCUCAUAUAAUAAACUGGUAAACGUAA